CGAAUGGACUGUACUCUUAAUACUGUGUGCAUCUCCUCCUUCUACAGUGGUUCUGCUUUCAGGUUGGAAAUCCGACGGUGAGCAACCUGUCAGUGAAUGAUCAGGGUUGAACUGUAGGACUUCUAGUUUGGGUGGCAAAUUAGGAAAAACAUUCUAAGAGGGUCAAAAUUCAAAAUUUUUAUUAUUAAAACUAAAAAUCUAAUUUGUUAGAGGAGAAGGCUAGAAAAAAAAUUACUUGCAAGAGCCGUGGCCCUGCCAGCCCCCUGCUUCCGCCACUGGGAGCAACUCACAAAUAUGAAAUUAUCUUAUCAGCAUCAGAAAAGGUAGAAGGAGGAGAUGCACACUGUAUUAAGAUGCAUCAGGCUUCCUUCUAAAAACUCCAGCUCUUCACUCCUCUUACUAUCAGCCUAGGAAGGUGAUGGUAUUAUUGAUCUGGGUCUCAGUCUCAGUCUCAGUCUCAGUCUCAGUCUCAGAACCUUGCAACCUGCAGCUCAUCAUCCCUUAUUCCUCUCAUUAACUCUUGUUCAACUUUUGUAGCUCUGCCCAUGAAAAAAAAUUCUUUCUUUCAUGAAGUUAGUGUUGCAGUGAUAUACUUUAGUUUACGAGUAUUUUUGGAGAAAAGAUGUUGGUAAAUCAUGAAAUAAUCGAGAAAACUCUGUGACUAUAAAAAAUGCCAAAAAAAGGAAGAAAUUUUAUGGGAGAAAGAACUAUUCUUUACGACGAAAAACCAUUGUGAUAGAAUCAGGAUACUUGAACGACAUGUAUAGUGAUGCUUGUUCUUAAUACUGACAAGAUCUGAUUAGAAAUUAUUGCAGUUUGUCAAUUGGGACAAUACAGGAUGUCUUUGCUUAGCUGAAUGACUUUCCAUUUGCAUUCAAAGCUUGAGCCUCAAGAAGCAGCCCAUUUUUUGUCUGUAGCUUCCAAUCCGAGAAUACGUUUUAAAAAUGAUUUUAUUUAAAAAAAAAACUGUUAUUUUUAUUUUUUUAAAUAAUUUUUUUAAUAUGUUAAUAUAAAAAAUAAAUUUAAAAAAAUAAAAAAAGUAUUAUUUUAAUAUUUUUUAAAAAAUAAUUUAAAAAACAAUUAUGCAAAUACCUAGCCGAGUUUCUGGUGCAUGUAUUAUCAUUUCUUAUUAUGCAUUACUCUGGAUGCAUUUGGGAAUGUAAAUGAAAAAUUAAUGUAUAGAGAACUAAUUAUAAAAUUAUGUAACUUUUAAGUUUAAUUUUGCAAUCAGGAUAUUCUUAGAAGAACUUUCAUACAUAUAUUAAAAUUGAUUUUUUUAUUUAAUUUUAAAUAUAAAUAAUAAUCAUUUGAACAAUGAAAAAUAAUAUAACGUUUUUGUUAUUUUUUUUGUAAUGUGUUUUUUUAUAAAUAUUAAAAUGAUGUUUUUGUUUUUUGUUUUAUAUAUUUGAGGGCUUUAUGGGCCUUUUAAGGUAUUGUUUCGUUAUGGGCCCAUGAGGAGGGCAUCCUUGUGGACCUUUUCCUCUUUAAAGAUGAGACACUCAAGAUGGAGCAGAUUGCAGUAAUCUAGAGAGAAACCUUCGCAGAUGAGAUGACAGGGCGGCGACAAGCGUUUUUAGGGUUUCUGCCACUGCUUUUCACUUACAACAAUAAAUAGACAGGUGGGUGGACAUUGUUUGCAGAGACAAGUGGAUGGUUUUAAAAUUUAGUUAAAAUAUAAUGGGCAGCAAAGGUUACUCUUCUGGCUUUCAUAGUUAUAACAUCUUGAUCAAUGGCCAUUGUAAGAGUAGAAGGAUCCAUGAAGCAAUAACUCUCUUUGCUAAAAUGUGUGAUAAAACAUUGACUCCUGGUAUUUCACUCUUACAGUGCCCAUUGAUUAAGAUGGUAUAAUGUUGUUAUCAAGGGAUUUCUUCUCAAAAACUGCACAUCACACAUUGUACAAGAUCUCAACGACAAGUUUGAUAGAAGAUCUUUGUGCAUUCAUCCAUGGUAAGCAUGCUAAUGGAUCUGGUAUCCGAUGGCAAAAUUAUAAUGUGUUUCUAUGAGGAGAUUCUCGAAAUGGGAAUUUCAAUUGAAGUAUCAUUUUCAGCUCAGCAAUGCUGUGGAGGUCUUCCUUCAAAACAGUUAGGCUGCAAUAACUCAUGUAAGUUAUUGUUACCCAAUUUGUCCACCUUAAGAACGGUAGAAUCUACUAUUUCCUCUUCAUAUGGUGAUGUGUCUUGGCUCUAGGUCAUGCUGUAGGUUCUACUGUAUAUAUGGUAAAAAGUGAUCAGUGAUUAUUGUUCUUGCUGGUUGUUUCUGAUAAAUUUACAUGUUUAAGUAAUCCAAGGGUUUAUUUUUGGGGCUACUUUUGUUGAAUUUAAAAGAACACAACCUCCGCUAAUUCUCUACACUUCUCCUUCGAUCAUGAGCUCUUGGUUUAUAACUCGUUUAAGGUACUAAGGUUGAUGAUUUAAUGAUGACAUUUGAUUCUGUUCA